UACGUAGGGGGCAAGCGUUGUCCGGAUUUACUGGGCGUAAAGGGCGCGUAGGCGGCAAUUCAAGUCAGCUGUGAAAUCUCCGAGCUUAACUCGGAACGGUCAGCUGAUACUGUUUUGCUAGAGUGCAGAAAGGGCAACCGGAAUUCUUGGUGUAGCGGUGAAAUGCGUAGAUAUCAAGAGGAACACCUGAGGUGAAGACGGGUUGCUGGGCUGACACUGACGCUGAGGCGCGAAAGCUAGGGUAGCAAACGGG
rnacentral:rRNA from 1 species